CCCUUAGAUGUCCUGGGCUGCACGCGCGCUACACUGAUGUGUCCAGUAAGCACCUAACCUCUUCCGAAAGGAACGGGUAACCUUUGCAAAGCACAUCGUGAUGGGGAUAGAUUAUUGCAAUUAUUAGUCUUGAACGAGGAAUUCCUAGUAAACACAAGUCAUCAGCUUGUGUUGAUUACGUCCCUGCCCUUUGUACACACCGCCCGUCGCUCCUACCGAUUGAAUGUUCCGGUGAGCUCUUCGGACUGCGCGGUCUGCAGUUUCUGCGUUCCGUGCGGAAAGUUGCGCAAACCUUAACAUUUAGAGGAAGGAGAAGUCGUAACA
rnacentral:rRNA from 1 species